rnacentral:tRNA from 1 species
ACCUGGCUGGCUCAAUUGGAAGAGUGUGUGACUCUUGAUCUUGGGGGUUGUGAGUUCAAGCCCCACGUUGGGUG